rnacentral:rRNA from 1 species
GACGAACGCUGGCGGCGUGCCUAAUACAUGCAAGUAGAACGCUGAAGAGAGGAGCUUACUCUUCUUGGAUGAGUUGCGAACGGGUGAGUAACGCGUAGGUAACCUGCCUUGUAGCGGGGGAUAACUAUUGGAAACGAUAGCUAAUACCGCAUAACAAUGGAUGACACAUGUCAUUUAUUUGAAAGGGGCAAUUGCUCCACUACAAGAUGGACCUGCGUUGUAUUAGCUAGUAGGUGAGGUAAUGGCUCACCUAGGCGACGAUACAUAGCCGACCUGAGAGGGUGAUCGGCCAAACUGGGACUGGGACACGGCCCAGACUCCUACGGGAGGCAGCAGUAGGGAAUCUUCGGCAAUGGGGGCAACCCUGACCGAGCAACGCCGCGUGAGUGAAGAAGGUUUUCGGAUCGUAAAGCUCUGUUGUAAGUCAAGAACGGGUGUGAGAGUGGAAAGUUCACACUGUGACGGUAGCUUACCAGAAAGGGACGGCUAACUACGUG